rnacentral:misc_RNA from 1 species
UCCUCAUUAAAAUGAGGCAGUCUGUCCAGAGUGCUUCGAACUCUCGUUCGAGUGGCAACAGGACACAAGGGUUGCGCUCGUUGCGGGACUUAACCCAACAUCUCACGACACGAGCUGACGACAGCCAUGCAGCACCUGUGUAAGCUUCCCUUGCGGGAUCGUCACCCUUUCAGGCUUCUACCACCUACAUGUCAAGGCCAGGUAAGGUUCUUCGCGUUGCAUCGAAUUAAGCCACAUACUCCACCGCUUGUGCAGGCCCCCGUCAAUUUCUUUGAGUUUUAAUCUUGCGACCGUACUUCCCAGGCGGCACAUUUAACGCGUUAGCUUCGCCACAAGCGGGGUCGAUUCCGCUUACAGCAAAUGUGCACCGUUUACAGCUAGGACUAC